rfam:Actinoplanes awajinensis subsp. mycoplanecinus strain NRRL B-16712 P067contig329.1, whole genome shotgun sequence.
GAGUGCGUAAUAGCUCACUGGUCAAGUGGUUCCGCGCCGACAAUGUAGCGGGGCUCAAGCACACCGCCGAAGCUGUGGCAUUCAUACUUUACCCGGCUGGUCGACUUGUUCGGCUGGUCCAGGUGUGUGGAUGGGUAGGGGAGCGUCGUGUAGCGGGUGAAGCGGCGGAGUGAUCCAGCCGUGGACGCUACACGAGUGAGAAUGCAGGCAUGA